UACGUAGGUGGCGUACGUUAUCCGGAAUUACUGGGCGUAAAGGGUCCGCAGGCGGGUCACCAAGGCCGGCGUGAAAGCUCCCGGCUCAACUGGGAGAGGGCGUUGGAAACUGGUGGUCUUGAAUCUCAGAGAGGUCGGUGGAAUUCCCGGUGUAGUGGUGGAAUGCGUAGAGAUCGGGAGGAACCUCGAAAGCGAAGGCAACCGGCUGGCUGAAGAUUGACGCUGAGGGACGAAAGCGUGGGGAGCGAACAGG
rnacentral:rRNA from 1 species